rnacentral:rRNA from 1 species
CGGACGGGUGAGUAACGCGUGGGUAACCUGCCUUGUACAGGGGGAUAACAGUUGGAAACGGCUGCUAAUACCGCAUAAGCGCACAGCAUCGCAUGAUGCAGUGUGAAAAACUCCGGUGGUAUAAGAUGGACCCGCGUUGGAUUAGCUAGUUGGUGAGGUAACGGCCCACCAAGGCAACGAUCCAUAGCCGACCUGAGAGGGUGACCGGCCACAUUGGGACUGAGACACGGUCCAA